UGUCCCCUGGCAAUGGGCAAACAGACACCUUGUUGGUGGUGGUGUUUUUAUAUCAAUCAGUGGCAGAGCAAUUGGCAGUCCUUUGAUCAUCCUAGCUUGAUGCCUAGCUCAGUGGUCAUAGCUGUUUUAUGCCUAGGACACAUAA
ensembl:snoRNA LOC120098369 small nucleolar RNA SNORA48